CCAAUCUGCCUCACUCUCGCUACUCUCCUUCAACGCCGCCGCCACCUGCACCAGCAGCUGGUUCCCUUCCUCCCAAAACCAAGAUUUGCUUCCUUUUAUAGCUGUGGUGUCCGUAGAAUGCACAAAUGUUCGAAUAAACACUUUAUUCAAAGCAGCUUCUUUGAAUGGGAUGAGUUAUUUUGUUUUCAUCGUUUAUUCUUAUGCAAUUUCAACUCUUGUUCUUCUGCCUGUCCCCUUCAUUUUUUACAGGUUCUUAGCUCAGAUAGUUGGAACUAAAGGUGUAGAAUACAUUUCCCCAAAACCAAGAACAAAUAAGGCCAAUUCUUCUUUUUUUGAAGACCUGAUUUAGGGUACCUUUACUGGAGAUGGAACCGAAUCCAAAGAAAUUUCUUCAUCUCAUGUGGAACAAGCAUAUUAGUAUGAAAAACUGUAUGAAAAACGGUCUUUCCUUGGUUUUGGGAGGAAGGGAACUAGCUACUGGUGCAGGUGGCGGUGGCGGUGGCGGUGGCGGUGUUGAAGGAGAAGGAGGCGAGAGAGAGAGAGAGAGGCAGAUUGGAAAUGGCGUGCUAAGAAGAAUCAGGGUCAAGCUAACCUUAAGUUGGGUUAGUGUCCCACGUGGGUCCCACAUUUAUGAUAUUUUGAUGAGUUCGUAAUUAGGGUACAAUUUUUAUAAAGGUUUAAAAUUGAGGUGCACGAAAAGUUAAGUUCAAAAUAAAGUGCAGUUGUUACGAGCCGUAAAUUAUAGAAUAUUUAGCAUGGGUUACCUUUUUUAUUAUUUAUUAAGUGUUUAAUUGAUCUAAUUUUAUAAA